GACCUCUGUAGCUCAGUGGAAGAGCAAUCAACCGGCAAUUGAUAGGUCCUGGGUUUCGAGCCCCAGCAGAGUUA